rnacentral:rRNA from 1 species
GACGAACGCUGGCGGCGUGCUUAACACAUGCAAGUCGAACGGAAAGGCCCUGCUUUUGUGUGGUGCUCGAGUGGCGCACGGGUGAGUAACACGUGAGUCUCCUGCCCUUGACUUUGGGAUAACUUCAGGCAACUGGGGCUAAUACCUGCUAGGUGCUCCUGCUGCAUGGUGGGGGUUGGAAAGUUUAGGCGGUUGGGGAUGGACUCGCGGCUUAUCAGCUUGUUGGUUGGGUAGUGGCUUACCAAGGCUUUGACGGGUAGCCGGCCUGAGAGGGUGAACGGGGACAAUGGGACUGAGAGACGGACCAGACUCCAACGGGAGGCAGCAGUGGGGAAUAUUGCACAAUGGGCGGAAGCGUGAUGAAGCAACGCCGGGAGCGGAAUGACGGCCUUCGGGUUGUAAACCGCUUUAGCCUGUGACGAAGCGUGAGUGACGGUAAUGGGUAAAGAAGCACCGGCUAACUACGUG